AAUAUCAAGUCUUAGAUGGCAUGACUGUCGCAUUAAAAUGUGAAAUUUGGAAGCAGUUUCAAUUUCUUGGCUUGAAUCAUCCAUGUAGAUGCAUUGCUACAGAACAAGAAGUGGAGAGUAGAUGACUAUCCAAUAUAUAAAUUGAUAUUUGGGGGUGCUUCUGACGGCAUAAUUAUGUUGAUAUAUGUUGAUGACUGCUUUUAUAAAUAGUGGAAGGAUCUCAGGUGAUUUUGAAGAAUUCUGUAUUUGAUUUUAGAUUUCUAAGGGCUAAUGUUACUUGGUCAAAAGCUGAGUGAUUUGAGUGUUAUCUCCAUUUUUUCUUUUCUGGUAGCCUGGUUUUCAUUGAAAAUACAGCUUAAUUUUUAGAGUUUUAGAUCUGCAUAAUUUCAUGGGUUGAUUUCACUUUGUGCUCCACUUGGACUAGAUUUCUCAUCACAGUACUAUCUUUUUCUUACUUUCUCAUCACACAUUGGCCUCAAGUUUUAAAAUCGGGCUGUCAAUCUUGGAUUUUAUUCUUUGGACUUUAUUAUGGUAUGAAUAUUCUUCAUAACUCCACCAUGUUUUCAUGAUUACCCUGAUUUAUAAUGAGACUGCACACUUUUCCAUCAAUGUUGCAAAUAGAAUAGAAAGUGCUGGUUCUCAACCAAUCUUCCUUGCUUUCUUUAUUCAGCACAAAGAGAGUCUUCUUCAUUGAGUGUUAUACCUUCCUCAUCUUCAAAUUCUUCUCUGAUUUCUUCAUGUAAGGACUGAUAAACAGGUUCCUUACUUUCUUGUUUUAUCUAUCAUACAUUGGCAAGAGAUUCUUUCUUGUCAUAAGUGCAAGACGCUAUUCUCCUUCAUAGUCUUCAACAAUUUCUUCACACAGCUGAUUAGCAUAGGUAGGGGAGUUGGAUUGUUGAUCAAAUUCCUCUAGUUCAUCACAAAGAGUGCUUUUCCAUCAAGGGUUUGCGUUGCUAAUCAUUUUGCAGUUUAUUUGUGGGAAGAAUCAAAUUUGGCAACCACACUGCAGGAAUUAGCUUGUUGAGUAGGAGUGUAUUCAGCAGUUGCAUUGGCAUAGGACUAGAAGCAGAGAGUUAAUGAGGACCCACGUAUAAGUGUUGCAUGUUGUACUCUUACAAGUACCGUGUCCAUGCUUCUGGUUUAUAUGCAAGUAGCCUCAUGACUCUGUGAGAGAUUAUAUGACAAGACCAACUAAUAUCAUCUCAUAGCAUUGUGAACUCUGCCACCUUCGAGGGACUUGUGCUUUUGUGCAAUAGAGUGGAAAAUAAGGAUAUCUAGUUGAUGAUGCAGCCAGUUGUUUGGCUGCUAAACCAAGAAGAAAAUGAAGAACUGGCAGAUGCGUGAAGCAAUUGAAGGCGUUCUUGUUUGUUCCAUGUGGUGGAAGACCUAACAACCAACAAGAAGAGGUGCCCUGGACUCAUACAUUACUGGCUUGCUGAAAUAUCAUAAUCUAUCAAUGAUCUUGCAGUUCCCUUCUGUGCAAGAAAUAAGUAUAACAAAAGAGAGAAGAUAUAGCACCAGGACUGAGAUUACAACCUCCAAUGACACAUGAUGACAAAGAUUACAAAGUAAUCUUGUUGGCGUGGCUUGAAUAUGUUAGGUGUGAAAGUCAAAUUUGAGUUGUACUUGGCUUGGACUCUGUUUUGUCGACUUUGGUUAGGACUCUGGUAUUUUGAGAGAGUGUGGCCUCUUUGUGAAAUCUCUUGAGCCUUGGCUUUUGUAUUUUGAGAGAGAGAGUUCUUUGGGUGUAUUUGGGGUCCAGUGAGAGUGUCUUUGUGCCACAUUUGUAAUCUUCUUAUUUUCUUAGUGAAACUUUCUUGACAUUGCCCGUGGAUGUAGGCCUAAAGCUGAAUCACAUAAAUCUUUGUCUCUCAUGUAAUAAUGUUAUUAUUUCUUCUCUUUUC